rnacentral:rRNA from 1 species
UACAGAGGUCCCGAGCGUUGUUCGGAAUCAUUGGGCGUAAAGGGCGCGUAGGUGGCGGCUUAAGCGUGCGGUGAAAGCUCGGGGCUCAACCCCGAGUCGGCCGUGCGAACUGAGUCGCUUGAGCACUGUAGAGGCAGGCGGAAUUCCGGGUGUAGCGGUGGAAUGCGUAGAGAUCCGGAAGAACACCGGUGGCGAAGGCGGCCUGCUGGGCAGUAGCUGACACUGAGGCGCGACAGCGUGGGGAGCAAACAGG